rnacentral:rRNA from 1 species
GGGCUUACACAUGCAAGUCGAACGAGAAUGAGGGCUUCCGCUCUCUAGUAAAGUGGCGGACGGGUGCGUAACACGUGGGUAAUCAACCUUCCAGCGGGGGACAACCGUCCGAAAGGAUGGCUAAUACCGCGUACGUCUGCGAGGACUCCGGUUCUUGCUGAGAAAGAUGGCCUCUCCUUGGAAGCUAUCGCUGGAAGACGAACCCGCGGCCCAUCAGCUAGUUGGUGAGGUAACGGCUCACCAAGGCUUAGACGGGUAGCUGGUCUGAGAGGAUGAUCAGCCACACUGGGACUGCGACACGGCCCAGACUCCUACGGGAGGCAGCAGUGGGGAAUAUUGGGCAAUGGGCGAAAGCCUGACCCAGCCACGCCGCGUGAGUGAUGAAGGCCUUCGGGUCGUAAAGCUCUGUGGGGAGGGACGAACAAACCGGGCGCUAAUCACCCCGGUCCUGACGGUACCUCCUUAGCAAGCACCGGCUAACCCUGUGCCAGCAGCCGCGGUAAUACAGGGGGUGCAAACGUUGCUCGGAAUUAUUGGGCGUAAAGCGCGCGUAGGCGGCUACUUAAGUCGGAUGUGAAACCCCCUGGCUCAACCGGGGAAG